AGUGAACGCUGGCGGUAGGCCUAACACAUGCAAGUCGAACGGCAGCACAGUAAGAGCUUGCUCUUACGGGUGGCGAGUGGCGGACGGGUGAGGAAUACAUCGGAAUCUACUUUUUCGUGGGGGAUAACGUAGGGAAACUUACGCUAAUACCGCAUACGACCUACGGGUGAAAGCAGGGGAUCUUCGGACCUUGCGCGAUUGAAUGAGCCGAUGUCGGAUUAGCUAGUUGGCGGGGUAAAGGCCCACCAAGGCGACGAUCCGUAGCUGGUCUGAGAGGAUGAUCAGCCACACUGGAACUGAGACACGGUCCAGACUCCUACGGGAGGCAGCAGUGGGGAAUAUUGGACAAUGGGCGCAAGCCUGAUCCAGCCAUACCGCGUGGGUGAAGAAGGCCUUGGGGUUGUAAAGCCCUUUUGUUGGGAAAGAAAAGCAGCAGGUUAAUACCCCGCUGUUCUGACGGUACCCAAAGAAUAAGCACCGGCUAACUUCGUA
rnacentral:rRNA from 1 species